GCCGAUGUGGCUCAGUGGCAGAGCAGCUGAUUCGUAAUCAGCAGGUCGCCGGUUCGAAUCCGGCCAUCGGCUCCA
rnacentral:tRNA from 2 species